UUAUGGCUCAGGACGAACGCUGGCGGCGUGCCUAAUACAUGCAAGUCGAACGGUCUUUCUAUGGAAGCUUGCUUCCACUGAGAAGAUAGUGGCGAACGGGUGAGUAACACGUGGGUAACCUGCCCAUAAGAGGGGGGAUAACAUCCGGAAACGGGUGCUAAUACCGCAUAGUUUUCUUGAUCGCAUGAUCGGGAAAGGAAAGACGGCCUUUGUGCUGUCGCUUAUGGAUGGACCCGCGGCGUAUUAGUUAGUUGGUGAGGUAACGGCUCACCAAGACGAUGAUACGUAGCCGACCUGAGAGGGUGAUCGGCCACAUUGGGACUGAGACACGGCCCAAACUCCUACGGGAGGCAGCAGUAGGGAAUCUUCCGCAAUGGACGAAAGUCUGACGGAGCAACGCCGCGUGAGUGAAGAAGGUUUUCGGAUCGUAAAACUCUGUUGUCGGAGAAGAACAAGUUGGAGAGUAACUGCUCCAGCCUUGACGGUAUCUGACCAGAAAGCCACGGCUAACUACGUGCCAGCCGCCGC
rnacentral:rRNA from 1 species